GAGAGACCUAAAACUUACUCAUCCAAUGGGUUUUGAGAAGGAGAUGGUGAGUGGGGAGAGAGGACGCGAGGAGUAUGCAAUUGAGCAUCUCCUUAUCACUCGGAUGCAUCAGCAGACGGGAUGGGAUAGACCGUAAACAACUUUUUUUCAAAUUAAAGUCGAACGAUUUGAUCCCCAGUCAUCUCUUGCCUACUCAUCAGGGGAGUCGAACCAACAGUCCAACGAACCAGUUGCAUUUGAUCUACAAUCUUUAAGUCAACUAUGGUUUUAACAGCGCACUGGUUAACGUUAGGUGUUGGUCAAUAUGCCCUUACAGUGGGAGCAGCAACAGUCUCCACGCCUGCUCUGUUGGGUCUGGGGGUAAUAGCUGCUGUCACAGUUGGCUGCUAUUACGUCUACAAAACUGGUCAUGAGAAAGAAAGGGGAAACCAGAAGAACGCAUGAUGUGACCCUGCCCCCUGCUGGAGGAUUCAGACAUCACAACAGAACUCCACAACGCUAGAUAAUCAUAGUUUGUGUUUCAAGGUGUUGUUGUGUUGAGAGCAUGGAACUGUGUUAAAAAUUAAAUGUGCAGUUGCAUUUUCA